rnacentral:lncRNA from 1 species
AAACACCACUUUGGUGGUCUCUUCCACCACCACAAGGACAAGGAGGAAGACACCCCCGUCGAGAAAACUACCUAUGGUGAAACAACCUAUGGAGAUAGUGAAAAAACUAGCUCUGGUGGUGAUAAUACAUAUGGCGAAAAAACUAGUGCCUAUGGAGAUAAUACAUAUGGAGAAAAAACUAGCACCUAUGGAGAUAACACUACAUAUGGUGAGAAAACUAGUUAUGGUGAUAAUACAUAUGGUGAAAAAACUAGCACCUACGGAGGAGAUAACACGUAUGGAGGUGAGAAAACUAGUUAUAGUGAUAAUACAUAUGGCGAAAAACCUAGCACCUACGGAGGAGAUAACACGUAUGGAGGUGAGAAAACUAGCUAUGGUGGAGGAGAUACGUAUGGAGAUAACAAAUAUGGUGAGAAAACCAGCACCUAUGGUGAGAAUACAUAUGGAGAGAAAACUAGUUAUGGUGGAACUGAGGAAGGUGGCUAUGGUGGAGGAGCUGCUGCCUAUUCAUCUGAGACUACUAAUUAUGAAGACACCACUGAAACCAAAACUGCUGAGGAUUAUAAGGAAGAGAAAAAACACCACAAGCAUCUUGAACAUGUCGGAGAACUCGGUGCCGUUGCCGC